GAGUUUGAUCAUGGCUCAGAUUGAACGCUGGCGGCAUGCCUUACACAUGCAAGUCGAACGGGAACCUGGGGCUUGCUCCAGGGGAGAGUGGCGCACGGGUGAAUAACGCGUAGGUAAUGUUCCUAUUGGCCGAGGAUAACCUGCCGAAAGGCGGGCUAAUACUCGAUAAGUUCCCUUGGGGUUCGCCUUGGGGGAAGAAAGCAGGGCAACUUGCACCGAUAGAUCAGCCUGCGUCCCAUCAGCUUGUUGGUGAGGUAACGGCUCACCAAGGCUACGACGGGUAGCUGGUCUGAGAGGAUGAUCAGCCACACUGGGACUGAGACACGGCCCAGACUCCUACGGGAGGCAGCAGUGGGGAAUAUUGGACAAUGGGCGCAAGCCUGAUCCAGCCAUGCCGCGUGAGUGAAGAAGGCCUUC
rnacentral:rRNA from 1 species